rnacentral:rRNA from 1 species
AGAGUUUGAUCAUGGCUCAGAUUGAACGCUGGCGGCAGGCCUAACACAUGCAAGUCGAGCGGUAGCACAGAGAGCUUGCUCUCGGGUGACGAGCGGCGGACGGGUGAGUAAUGUCUGGGAAACUGCCUGAUGGAGGGGGAUAACUACUGGAAACGGUAGCUAAUACCGCAUAACGUCGCAAGACCAAAGUGGGGGACCUUCGGGCCUCAUGCCAUCAGAUGUGCCCAGAUGGGAUUAGCUAGUAGGUGGGGUAAUGGCUCACCUAGGCGACGAUCCCUAGCUGGUCUGAGAGGAUGACCAGCCACACUGGAACUGAGACACGGUCCAGACUCCUACGGGAGGCAGCAGUGGGGAAUAUUGCACAAUGGGCGCAAGCCUGAUGCAGCCAUGCCGCGUGUGUGAAGAAGGCCUUCGGGUUGUAAAGCACUUUCAGCGGGGAGGAAGGCGGUGAGGUUAAUAACCUCAUCGAUUGACGUUACCCGCAGAAGAAGCACCGGCUAACUCCGUGCCAGCAGCCGCGGUAAUACGGAGGGUGCAAGCGUUAAUCGGAAUUACUGGGCGUAAAGCGCACGCAGGCGGUCUGUCAAGUCGGAUGUGAAAUCCCCGGGCUCAACCUGGGAACUGCAUUCGAAACUGGCAGGCUAGAGUCUUGUAGAGGGGGGUAGAAUUCCAGGUGUAGCGGUGAAAUGCGUAGAGAUCUGGAGGAAUACCGGUGGCGAAGGCGGCCCCCUGGACAAAGACUGACGCUCAGGUGCGAAAGCGUGGGGAGCAAACAGGAUUAGAUACCCUGGUAGUCCACGCCGUAAACGAUGUCGAUUUGGAGGUUGUGCCCUUGAGGCGUGGCUUCCGGAGCUAACGCGUUAAAUCGACCGCCUGGGGAGUACGGCCGCAAGGUUAAAACUCAAAUGAAUUGACGGGGGCCCGCACAAGCGGUGGAGCAUGUGGUUUAAUUCGAUGCAACGCGAAGAACCUUACCUGGUCUUGACAUCCACAGAACUUAGCAGAGAUGCUUUGGUGCCUUCGGGAACUGUGAGACAGGUGCUGCAUGGCUGUCGUCAGCUCGUGUUGUGAAAUGUUGGGUUAAGUCCCGCAACGAGCGCAACCCUUAUCCUUUGUUGCCAGCGGUCCGGCCGGGAACUCAAAGGAGACUGCCAGUGAUAAACUGGAGGAAGGUGGGGAUGACGUCAAGUCAUCAUGGCCCUUACGACCAGGGCUACACACGUGCUACAAUGGCAUAUACAAAGAGAAGCGACCUCGCGAGAGCAAGCGGACCUCAUAAAGUAUGUCGUAGUCCGGAUUGGAGUCUGCAACUCGACUCCAUGAAGUCGGAAUCGCUAGUAAUCGUAGAUCAGAAUGCUACGGUGAAUACGUUCCCGGGCCUUGUACACACCGCCCGUCACACCAUGGGAGUGGGUUGCAAAAGAAGUAGGUAGCUUAACCUUCGGGAGGGCGCUUACCACUUUGUGAUUCAUGACUGGGGUGAAGUCGUAACAAGGUAACCGUAGGGGAACCUGCGGUUGGAUCACCU